GCUUAUAGUGGUAGGGAUUGAUGCACACUUCCUUCUGCUUGGAACCAAAAGGAAACUCACAGCAUUCCAGUGGUUUUAGUUCAUGGUGGCUCUGAAGAUCGGGCCAACGCCACACUCGGCAGUAAAUGACAUGAGGCAGUCCCUUCCGGUGGGAAACUUGCAGCCUGCCGUCCAGAGAGCGGGGGAUGGUGACACAGUUACUUGGCUGCCCUGGGCAGCUCAAGGCCUUUUCCAGUUCCUCCAUGGCACCUUUCUUUUUCUUCAGUUUUUUCACCAAAGCAUCAACAGCUUUCUCUGCCCAUUUUUCUUCUUCAUCACCCUGUUUCCACCCAAGAAGUCUCUUCACAGCUGGACUUGUGAAGGAAAAUAAACUUGUCACGUUCA
rnacentral:lncRNA from 1 species